rnacentral:rRNA from 1 species
CUUCGGGGUCCGCAUUGUAAUUUGUAGAGGAUGCUUCGGGAGCGGUCCCCAUCUAAGUGCCCUGGAACGGGACGUCAUAGAGGGUGAGAAUCCCGUAUGGGAUGGGGUGUCCGCGCCCGUGUGAAGCUCCUUCGACGAGUCGAGUUGUUUGGGAAUGCAGCUCUAAAUGGGUGGUAAAUUUCAUCUAAAGCUAAAUAUUGGCCGGAGACCGAUAGCGCACAAGUAGAGUGAUCGAAAGAUGAAAAGCACUUUGAAAAGAGAGUUAAAAAGCACGUGAAAUUGUUGAAAGGGAAGCGCUUGCGACCAGACUCGCUCGCGGGGUUCAGCCGGCAUUCGUGCCGGUGUACUUCCCCGCGGGCGGGCCAGCGUCGGUUUGGGCGGUCGGUCAAAGGCCCUCGGAAGGUAACGCCCCUAGGGGCGUCUUAUAGCCGAGGGUGCAAUGCGACCUGCCUAGACCGAGGAACGCGCUUCGGCUCGGACGCUGGCAUAAUGGUCGUAAACGACCCGUCUUGAAACACGGAC